rnacentral:rRNA from 1 species
AAAGGGAGCGUAGGCGGAUAGUUUAGUCAGAGGUGAAAGCCCAGGGCUCAACCUUGGAAUUGCCUUUGAUACUGGCUAUCUUGAGUACGGAAGAGGUAUGUGGAACUCCGAGUGUAGAGGUGAAAUUCGUAGAUAUUCGGAAGAACACCAGUGGCGAAGGCGACAUACUGGUCCGUUACUGACGCUGAGGCUCGAAAGCGUGGGGAGCAAACAGGAUUAGAUACCCUAGU